CCCUUAGAUGUUCUGGGCCGCACGCGCGCUACACUGACUACUUCAACGAGUUGUUUCCUUGAUCGAAAGGUCUGGGUAAUCUUUGAAAGGUAGUCGUGAUGGGGAUAGAUCCUUGCAAUUUUUGAUCUUCAACGAGGAAUUCCUAGUAAACGCAAGUCAUCAGCUUGCAUUGAUUACGUCCCUGCCCUUUGUACACACCGCCCGUCGCACCUACCGAUUGAAUGGUCCGGUGAAUCUUUAGGACUGUGGCUGAGGCCUUGCCUUGUGCGGGUCUGGCCGUGGGAAUUUAGUUAAACCUUACCAUUUAGAGGAAGGUGAGGUCGUAACA
rnacentral:rRNA from 1 species